rnacentral:rRNA from 1 species
GUGGGGAAUAUUGGGCAAUGGGCGAAAGCCUGACCCAGCAACGCCGCGUGAAGGAAGAAGGUCUUCGGAUCGUAAACUUCUAUCCUUGGUGAAGAUAAUGACGGUAGCCGAGAAGGAAGCCCCGGCUAACUACGUGCCAGCAGCCGCGGUAAUACGUAGGGGGCAAGCGUUGUCCGGAAUGAUUGGGCGUAAAGGGGGCGUAGGCGGCCUGGUAAGUCUGGAGUGAAAGUCCUGCUUUUAAGGUGGGAAUUGCUUUGGAUACUGUCGGGCUUGAGUGCAGGAGAGGUCAGUGGAAGUCCCGGUGUAGCGGUGAAAUGCGUAGAGAUCGGGAGGAACACCAGUGGCGAAGGCGACUUACUGGACUGUAACUGACGCUGAGGCGCGAAAGUGUGGGGAGCAAACAGGAUUAGAUACCCCGGUAGUCC